GAUGAACGCUGGCGGCGUGCCUAAUACAUGCAAGUCGAGCGAACGGACGAGAAGCUUGCUUCUCUGAUGUUAGCGGCGGACGGGUGAGUAACACGUGGAUAACCUACCUAUAAGACUGGGAUAACUUCGGGAAACCGGAGCUAAUGCCGGAUAAUAUUUCGAACCGCAUGGUUCAAAAGUGAAAGACGGUCUUGCUGUCACUUAUAGAUGGAUCCGCGCUGCAUUAGCUAGUUGGUAAGGUAACGGCUUACCAAGGCAACGAUGCAUAGCCGACCUGAGAGGGUGAUCGGACACACUGGAACUGAGACACGGUACAGACUCCUACGGGAGGCAGCAGUAGGGAAUCUUCCGCAAUGGGCGAAAGCCUGACGGAGCAACGCCGCGUGAGUGAUGAAGGUCUUCGGAUCGUAAAACUCUGUUAUUAGGGAAGAACAUAUGUGUAAGUAACUGUGCACAUCUUGACGGUACCUAAUCAGAAAGCCACGGCUAACUACGUG
rnacentral:rRNA from 1 species